UUGAGAGGCAUGUCUGAUCAUUUAAAAGGUUCCCAUAUUUCUUGUGUUUGUUUAUUUCCAGUGCUUCUAAUGCAUCCAUCUUCCUGCUUUUCGGCAAUACAUGUAGAUAUUCGAUGUUUUUAUCGGGAUCGAAGUGAUGCCUCUCAAGUU